CCUGCCCCUAGAGGCCUUGCAUGUGUGGCUGCUGGGUCGAAUGAUGUGUCACAUGAGUAGGUAGCAAAGAGGAGAGAAGCUAUGUCUCAGUUCAGGGUUCUGACCUGAGAACAUCGGGUGACUACCAGUCUGAUGCU
ensembl:snoRNA Gm23220 small nucleolar RNA SNORA17